UGCGCGUGUGUGUGUGUGUGUGUGUGUGGUGGGGAGUGAUGCGUGUGUGUGUGUGUGUGUGUGGGGGGAUGCUGCGCGUGUGUGAGGGGUGAAAGGUUUAUACAGGGGAGAGGAGGACCAGAGGCCUGGGGGAAGAUAAGGGACUCAUGGA